CUUCAAACCAUUCUGUGUAGACUAUUAGCCUUCACUGCAUCUGAUCUGAGUGGAUGCGAAGAACUCACAGGCAAGUCAUAAAGGCAAAGGGAAGGUGAUGCCUUUCUUCCAGGAACUUACAUUUGGAAGCAGCCUGGACAUUUAACAUCCUGCAACGGUUGAUCAAAAGUUACACAAGCAAGGACAAAGACAAAAGGCAUAAAUCAUAUAUAUAGAUCACAAUCAAAUCCAAAAUAUCAGUGAUUAAUGGUAGAUACCAGAAAAGUAGAAUCAGGUGAUGGGACCAAACGCUUAAGCUUGUGCUUUUGCUUCUCAAGCUCAGCAGGAGGGUGAAGCAAGUCAAUGUCGUUUGAUAUCUUUGGAAUACCCUAAUUAAGGCCACAGGAAAAGAACAUGAAACCACAAUUGCCAAGUAACUCAUGUCAAAGUCCAAAAGAAAGAGAUUCAAGUGGUCACUCACCAUUUUGUCUUGGAGCUUUUGUCACAGAUGUUGCAAGUUGCUGUCAAUCAAUAGAAACAAAGAAACGUGAGAUAUUAUCUCUUUACACAUUCAUAAAAGCACUUGCAAUAGUAAAUAAAGGAGGGCCACGGAAUCAACAAAUCAUGUCUUCAAGAAACAAAACAGCAUGAAAGACAUAACUCAUCAAUCACCAAGUGUGAUCAGGUCUUGAACUACUUGGAGUCGAAUCUUUUCCAACCGUUUCCCUAUGUUCUAGCCCAUUCCAUAAUGAGAUGGAACCCCUUCCAGAGGCGAAUCCAGGAUUUAAGGUCUAUGCUCCGUGUUGAAAGUAUUGGGAUCAGAUGAACCCAGUACUCAAACGAUGCAUGCUCCCCUGCCCGUUGCCCACUUGACACCGCCUAAUGAAAUUGUUAAUUCUUCACAGUGUAACAAGACUCUAUGAAACAGCCUCUUGUAGAAAUGCAGGGUAAGGCUGCGUACAAUAGAACUUUGUGGUCCGGCCCUUUUCCGGAUCCCGCGCAUAGCGGGAGCUUAGUGCACCUGGCUGUCAUUUUUUCACAGUGUAAAAAUGAAUAUAACUCUCUUUUGGUAUGAAUAGGUCACUGGUCUAGGCAUGCACACUCGACUGCUAAUGUAGGACAUGUAAAUGUGAGUAUGUCCCAACGAAUUCAAUGCUCAUAGGAAUACAGACUUGAACUGGUUAUAUGAAGCUUAUAGGCAGAACCAGUUGGUAUUACUUGCAAAACUGAUAGGAAUAAACUUGAAGGCUUGGUUGGUAUUA